rnacentral:rRNA from 1 species
CAGCACCUCAAGUGGUCAGGAUGAUUAUUGGGCCUAAAGCAUCCGUAGCCGGCUCUGUAAGUUUUCGGUUAAAUCUGUAUGCUCAACAUACAGGCUGCCGGGAAUACUGCAGAGCUAGGGAGUGGGAGAGGUAGACGGUACUCGGUAGGAAGGGGUAAAAUCCUUUGAUCUAUUGAUGACCACCUGUGGCGAAGGCGGUCUACCAGAACACGUCCGACGGUGAGGGAUGAAAGCUGGGGGAGCAAACCGGAGUAGAUACCCGAGUAGUCC